rnacentral:rRNA from 1 species
UCCUGGUCAGUACCACUUUGUAAUAUAGACUGGUUGCCCACUGAAGCUAAGCAGGGUUGAGCCUGGUCAGUACCUGGAUGGGGGAGACCUUCUGGGAAAACUAGGUUGCUGCUGGAA